GUGCUUGCUUCGUAGCACAUAUACUAAAAUUGGAACGAUACAGAGAAGAUUAGCAUGGCCCCUGCGCACAAGUUGAUUGUUAGUUGUCAAUCUACCCCACACAUCCUC